rnacentral:misc_RNA from 1 species
GAAACAUGAGAGACCAAACAAGAAACAUAAGAUCGGUAGCAAGUCGGACAUGGUUCUCACACAUCCCAUACUAGAGUCAAGCUCAGGAUCAGACUUUCGUCACCCGAGCUCGAUGUUCCCUGUUGGUGCCGGUCACUUCGAUUCAUCAGGCACUUCAAUCUGCGAUGAGGAUCGGUUCGGAAAUGGUUCGGGGAGCGAUAUUUGAUUUGGUAUCGUGAUGGUUUCU